AUUUUUAUUUUUUACAUUAUUCCUGAAAGCUGAAAGCCUCUGUUCCCCUGGAGUUUCCUUCGUUCGGAGAUUACACUGCACCAUUCUCUUGGUUCCAUUUCUAGCACACUUCGGACUUUUGAGUUGGUCUGCUUUCUUUCCCUGGCCUUGAACAGUGUGCCCACCCGGGUUCUCAGCUCUGCUCUUCCGUAUGUGGUACCACUGUCUCAGGAUAACAAUUGUUCUGAGAAUUUCCACUCCCAUUCUACAUUCUGACGACUGCCCUCCUUCAGUUCUAGUCCCCCUGAAGCAUCUCUCCUGAGAGCCAGUCCUGGACCUCGACCCUUGGCUGCCCAGCCAGCACUCAUGUAAUUACACUAAUCCACUGUAUUUUCCUUUCCUCCUCCAUGAGACCUGGUAUUUAUCACACAUUUCCAUUGUCACUUUAUGUCCUCAUCACCCGAGUAUAAUUCCUGCUGAUAAUCUACAACAUUGACUUGUACAUGGGAAGGCAAACAUUUGUUAGAAAUUCUUUCUGCUACCUUUGAUCGGAAUGAAAGAAAAAAAAUCAAGAGAUAUUAAAAUCAACUACAAAGGCAAAGGAACCUGUCUUUUCAGGUUGAAGAAAAGAACUGCUGCCUCAUUAUGGUCUUUUUCAAUUAAAAUG
rnacentral:lncRNA from 1 species